CACGUAGGCGGGACUAUCAGUUUGAGGUGAAAACUUGCGGCUUAACCGUAAGUCUGCCUUGAAUACUGUUGUUCUUGAGUUCGGAAGAGGGAAGUGGAAUUCCUGGUGUAGCGGUGAAAUGCGUAGAUAUCAGGAAGAACACCGGUGGCGAAGGCGGCUUCCUGGUCCGAUACUGACGCUGAUGUGCGAAAGCGUGGGGAGCGAACAGGAUUAGAUACCCUGGUAGUCC
rnacentral:rRNA from 1 species